CAGUAGCCGCGGGAAUACCGAGGGUGCGAGCGUUAAUCGGAUUUACUGGGCGUAAAGCGUGCGUAGGCGGCUUCUUAAGUCGGAUGUGAAAUCCCUGAGCUUAACUUAGGAAUUGCAUUCGAUACUGGGAAGCUAGAGUAUGGGAGAGGAUGGUAGAAUUCCAGGUGUAGCGGUGAAAUGCGUAGAGAUCUGGAGGAAUACCGAUGGCGAAGGCAGCCAUCUGGCCUAAUACUGACGCUGAGGUACGAAAGCAUGGGGAGCAAACAGGAUUAGAUACCCGAGUAGUCCCUGUCUCUUAUAC
rnacentral:rRNA from 1 species